CGUGAUGACGCAAAACUGCUGCCCCAUGAAUUGUAUCACCUUAUUAACAAUAAUGAAUUUUAUCCCAUUCACCUGGGAAAUUGUCUUCGGAUCAAUCUUCCUCAACAACAACCUAUGGACAAUUUGUGCAGUCUACUUAAGGUCCUCAAUCAGUAAUAGAUGAUCAAAACAACUAUCGUGGAGCCUUUGUAACUGUUGUGGACUCAAUUUCUCCUUAAUUAUACUUAUGAC
rnacentral:lncRNA from 1 species